CCUACGGGGGGCAGCAGUGAGGAAUAUUGGUCAAUGGCCGUAAGGCUGAACCAGCCAAGUAGCGUGAGGGAAGACUGCCCUAUGGGUUGUAAACCUCUUUUGUCGGGGAGCAAAAGCCGGACGUGUCCGGCUGUGAGAGUACCCGAAGAAAAAGCAUCGGCUAACUCCGUGCCAGCAGCCGCGGUAAUAGGGAGGAUGCGAGCGUUAUCCGGGUUUUUUGGGUUUAAAGGGUGCGCAGGCGGGUUUUUAAGUUAGCGGUAAAAUCGUGGGGCUCAACCCCAUCCAGCCGUUGAAACUGGGGAUCUAGAGUGUGCGAGAGGUAUGCGGAAUGCGUGGUGUAGCGGUGAAAUGCAUAGAUAUCACGCAGAACCCCGAUUGCGAAGGCAGCAUACCGGUGCACAACUGACGCUCAGGCACGAAAGCGUGGGUAUCGAACAGGAUUAGAUACCCCAGUAGUC
rnacentral:rRNA from 1 species